rnacentral:tRNA from 1 species
UGGAGCGUGGCCAAGUGGUAAGGCACCAGUUUUUGGUACUGGCUAUCGGAGGUUCGAAUCCUUCCGCUCCAG